UGAUAGAGGCGCGAAAAGAAUGAGUAGCAUCGCUUCAGGCGGCGGGAACCGCCGGUGCGAAGGGUCUUUUCGCCGAAGGGUAUCCGCCUUCCCGAACGGAUAUGCCUGGGCCGUCGGAGAACAUCCGCCGGACUGUCGCCCCUUGAAAAAGGGCGGAGAGCUGUCAG
rnacentral:ncRNA from 1 species